rnacentral:rRNA from 1 species
UACGUAGGUGGCAAGCGUUAUCCGGAAUUAUUGGGCGUAAAGCGCGCGCAGGCGGUUUCUUAAGUCUGAUGUGAAAGCCCACGGCUCAACCGUGGAGGGUCAUUGGAAACUGGGGAACUUGAGUGCAGAAGAGAAAAGCGGAAUUCCACGUGUAGCGGUGAAAUGCGUAGAGAUGUGGAGGAACACCAGUGGCGAAGGCGGCUUUUUGGUAUGUAACUGACGCUGAGGCGCGAAAGCGUGGGGAGCAAACAGG